AUGAAAUCUAGUUGGGAUUGGAUUGGUGUGAAUUCCUAAGGUUUUCAAACAUUUGGGGGAUUACUAUAAUGUUUUCGAAGUUUGGAGCAUGACUACAAUUUUUCAAAGUUGGACAAAUUAAAAGGAAAGUUAAGAAGGUGUGACCUGAUUCAAAUGUAGGUUCCCUGGAAGACUAAUACCUUAAUGACUGGGUUAUCGCCAUUUUUUUGCUAAAUUUUGUUGUUGAAUUGUACAUAUUGUUUUUUGGAGUGUUCUUGCCGAAAUUAAGAAUCAAGUGGUUGGGAUAUUUGCAUUGUCCAUCUCCCUUGGAGUGCGAAUCAAGUGGCUGGCAAAACAGGGGUUUAACAUGGGUUUCGAGCUGCAAAUUUUUGUUUCCCCUCCUGCUGGUGCUUGGAAUUUGCUUUGUCAGGAUGUUUUUGAGAUCUUGUUCUCUAUAAUUUUUUGAUAUCAUUCUUUAUUCAAAUAAAAUUAGGAUCAUGCUUUUUAGUUUGGCCAAAGGAUGUAGGAGUAGUUCUACCAGUUUGAUCCCUUCAACCCAAUUUGGUUUUAUGCUUGUGUAUAUUGUGUGGCAUGAAAAUGCUCUGUUUUGUCCAUGUGCAUGUGCAUGAACAAUUAAAUCUUAGUUAUUACAGAUGGCGAGUUCAAUGUGAUUCAAACUAGUUUCACCCAUAUGUAGUUAACAACUUAUUCAGGGGAAACAUUAAUUUAGUUUGGCAUAUGCUUUGUUUGGCUUGUUUAGGUACCUUGUAGACUGUUUAGGUGUACAAUUAAUAACUGAUCUCAUUGUUUUGUACAUCUCUCUUACUCUCUAAUUCUUUAUAUGUCUUUGUAACAUCAGGUAGACUAUGCAUGUACACCUGAGGAAGUUCACCAGAAAUUCCAAUCUUGUGCUCAGGGUAACAAUUUUGACAGACAAGUUUGGUCAACCUAAAGGAUUUUCCUAUGUUGAAUCUGUUGAAGUUGAUGCUGUUCAAAGUGCUCUACUGUUAAAUGAAUCAGAAUUGCAUGGUCAUCAGUUGAAGAAAUUGGAUCAGAUUGGAUAAACGCAGAAGCUCGUCCUGAAGAUCCAAUACUUAUCUUGAGCUCGUUGAAGAUAAUCUCUUAAAUAGGAUCGGUUAGUUUCAAUCCUGGAAUUAGUUUGUGUGAACAAUAAAGAUGUUAACAUAGAAUAAGUAGAAAAAUGUGCUUUUGAGGUUUGAUGCUAGCAGGAGAAAAGCUUAGCCAAAUGGAAGAGGCGAACGAGUCGAAUUCCGGCAUUGUUUAACAUGCAGAGUUGAAAGCUGGCAACAUGAGAAUCCGGGCUGUUUGAUGUUGGAACUGGUGACAAUCGUUUAUCUUCCAAAUGGAGUUGUGCUUGGUUAGGUUAUAUUCUCGGUUUAGUAAGGGUGUGAUUUAGAGGGGAUAGCUAGUGGCUUUAAGCAUUUGUAUUCUGAGAGCAAGUAGAUUUUCAUGUAUCUAGAGAGUCGUCAGAUUAUCGUAUCCUUUCAUUGGAGACUUGUGGGAUCUUUGCUUAUCUUUGUGUAAUCAUGCAACUCUCUCUGUAAUCUUAUGUUAAAUGUUAGUAGCUUUGUAUUAGGGGGUGAGUGUCGAAUAUUCGAUAUGUUGGAUAUAAAUAUGUUUCAUUCAUCGUGUUCCUAAGUUAUGUGAAUUGUAUUCUUAUAUUCAUGUC